ensembl:lncRNA
CUACAAAAUAACUCCAAACAGGACUAGCAUUAAUCCUCAGAAAAGAAGAAAUGGGAACAGAAGUAACACCAUUUAUCUCUGUUGCUACCAGUUUCCAAACAGAGGCAUGGCUCUAUUUGAACACGAAUAGGAUCACAUCAUAGAUGGGUCAGAGACUGCUUCUAUCAUCCACUGCAAGAGAAGAGAGGAGAUCCCAGGAGCAGAAUAGAUGAUUCUUGAAACUGAGGCUAACAAAAACUAUAAAUCUGUACAGAGCAUAAAUCUCAGAGGGAGAUACAAAGAGGGCAAGUUGAUCACAGGAGAUCAGGACGCUUGUUUAAGGUUAUGUUAUUGAAGUAGUAAAUAAAAUCUGUUAUCUGAUGGUCGUACAAGUAGUGCAAGUGAAACCAAUCAGAUGCCUCACACAACACACUCAUAAACAUUUAUAGCCAACAAACUGUGCCUUUUGUGAACAAGACUGAGUGUUUCUCACCAUGAAAAAGGAUGUUUUCCAGAAAAUAUCUACAAUGUGGCAACACUUUGUUGUUCAUAUUAUGCCCAAUCAUCAGAAAAAUACUGUUAGCAGAUGCUUGAUUCUGUACAAUGAACCUUUUAUUCGUUACAGGCUUCUCUGAAGAUGCUCUAAGAAAAGUAUAAGUGACUGGGAUCUGGUCGGUAUUUCAUGUUCCUCUUCCACCCUUGCAGCAGCUCAAGCUCUCUUUCUGAACUUCAAGGAUUGGUCCUUCAACACAGUAACCCCAAAUUUUCCUAUACUCAUACACACUUCUUUUAGCCUGCCAUGUGAACGAGUCUCAGCCCUUCUGUCUUGACCAGAGCAGUGCAUGUGCUCACUGGAAGGUAUGCAUGGUAUACAAGAUGACUG